rnacentral:rRNA from 1 species
UGGGGAAUAUUGGACAAUGGGCGCAAGCCUGAUCCAGCCAUGCCGCGUGAGUGAUGAAGGCCUUAGGGUUGUAAAGCUCUUUCGGCGGGGACGAUAAUGACGGUACCCGCAGAAGAAGCCCCGGCUAACUUCGUGCCAGCAGCCGCGGUAAUACGAAGGGGGCUAGCGUUGCUCGGAAUCACUGGGCGUAAAGGGCGCGUAGGCGGACAUUUAAGUCGGGGGUGAAAGCCCAGGGCUCAACCCUGGAAUUGCCUCCGAUACUGGGUGUCUCGAGACCGGAAGAGGUGAGUGGAACUGCGAGUGUAGAGGUGAAAUUCGUAGAUAUUCGCAAGAACACCAGUGGCGAAGGCGGCUCACUGGUCCGGUUCUGACGCUGAGGCGCGAAAAGCGUGGGGAGCAAACAGGAUUAGAUACCCUGGUAGUCCACGCCGUAAACGAUGGAUGCUAGCCGUUGGCAGGCUUGCCCGUCCAGUGGCGCAGCUAACGCUUUAAGCAUCCGCCUGGGGAGUACGGCCGCAAGGUUAAAACUUAAAGGAAUUGACGGGGUCAUAGCUGUUUCCU